UACGUAGGGGGCGAGCGUUAUCCGGAUUUAUUGGGCGUAAAGCGAGCGCAGGUGGUUUAUUAAGUCUAGUGUAAAAGGCAGUGGCUCAACCAUUGUAUGCAUUGGAAACUGGUAGACUUGAGUGCAGGAGAGGAGAGUGGAAUUCCAUGUGUAGCGGUGAAAUGCGUAGAUAUAUGGAGGAACACCGGUGGCGAAAGCGGCUCUCUGGCCUGUAACUGACACUGAGGCUCGAAAGCGUGGGGAGCAAACAGG
rnacentral:rRNA from 1 species